GAACUUUCCAGAGAUGGAUUGGUGCCUUCGGGAACUGUGAGACAGGUGCUGCAUGGCUGUCGUCAGCUCGUGUUGUGAAAUGUUGGGUUAAGUCCCGCAACGAGCGCAACCCUUAUCCUUUGUUGCCAGCGGUCCGGCCGGGAACUCAAAGGAGACUGCCAGUGAUAAACUGGAGGAAGGUGGGGAUGACGUCAAGUCAUCAUGGCCCUUACGACCAGGGCUACACACGUGCUACAAUGGCGC
rnacentral:rRNA from 1 species